CUGUGAGGGCAAUCUGGCCAUGACAUUUGUCACCCCAUUGAUCGCCAGGGUUGAUGUAUCCAAUCUGGCUGGCUAGGUGGGUGUCCCCUUCCACUGUGGGAGAGGACAGCCAUUCCCAAUAGAAGGAGUGUACUGUUUUCCAGUCAAGGGUAUUUAGAAAACACCAACUAGAUCAGUGGGAUUUGCCUGAAUAUCAAGUAGUCUAAUUCAUUCACUGGUUCUGGUUGGUAUUAGUGAUUGGAUUUAGU
rnacentral:snRNA from 1 species